UAGAGGCAGGCACCAACUCUGGGCACUGCCACCUGCAUUAGGUCUUGUGUUUGAUGUGCUCUUGUGAAUUUACUUUGUCAGAACAAAAUAUUUGCAAGUUGGAUUCAGGAAUCUCUCCUUUUAGCUUCUGAUCUGGCUAUGAAAUUCAGGAAACCUGUUCUCCCAUUGCCUAGUAAUCACCCCAUGUAGGUGUAAAUUGUGACAAAGUAGAUCUGACCCCUAAGGGACCCCCAGGGUGACCCCCC